rnacentral:rRNA from 1 species
GGCUGCCACCACAUGCUUGCCGAACGAAACACUCGACGUCGCAGCACCCUGCGCCGCCAAGUCCCAAAAAAAUUGCGUUGCGCCGGUCUGGUGGCCUGAGCGGCGUGCCCAGAACCCGAUCCCAUCUCGAACUCGGCCGUUAAACACGCCAGCGCCCAUGGUACUGUGUCUCAAGACACGGGAGAGUCGGUCGCCGCCAGAC